UGUCCUCCAUAGGAGGUCUGUAUUGAGCAGAUUCUUUUUGGUAUUGGUUGGUGGAAUUGGAGCUUGCUCCAUCCACUCCAUGCAUUGACCUGGUAUUGCAGUGCUUCCAGGACUGGUGC
ensembl:snRNA U2 U2 spliceosomal RNA